rnacentral:rRNA from 1 species
GACGAACGCUGGCGGCGUGCUUAACACAUGCAAGUCGAACGAAGAGCGAUGGAAGCUUGCUUCUAUCAAUCUUAGUGGCGAACGGGUGAGUAACGCGUAAUCAACCUGCCCUUCAGAGGGGGACAACAGUUGGAAACGACUGCUAAUACCGCAUACGAUCUAAUCUCGGCAUCGAGGAUAGAUGAAAGGUGGCCUCUACAUGUAAGCUAUCACUGAAGGAGGGGAUUGCGUCUGAUUAGCUAGUUGGAGGGGUAACGGCCCACCAAGGCGAUGAUCAGUAGCCGGUCUGAGAGGAUAAACGGCCACAUUGGGACUGAGACACGGCCCAGACUCCUACGGGAGGCAGCAGUGGGGAAUCUUCCGCAAUGGACGAAAGUCUGACGGAGCAACGCCGCGUGAGUGAUGACGGCCUUCGGGUUGUAAAGCUCUGUUAAUCGGGACGAAAGGCCUUCUUGCGAAUAGUGAGAAGGAUUGACGGUACCGGAAGAGAAAGCCACGGCUAACUACGUG